CCGCCCUAGUUCUGACCGUAAACGAUGCCAACUAGCGAUCCGCCGAUGGAAACACCAGUUGCCACAGUGGGGAGCUUCCCGGAAACGAAAGUCUUCCGGUUCCGGGGGAAGUAUGGUUGCAAAGCUGAAACUUAAAGGAAUUGACGGAAGGGCACCACCAGAAGUGGAGCUUGCGGCUUAAUUUGACUCAACACGGGGAAACUCACCCAGGCAGGACAUUGUGAGGAUUGACAGAUUGAUAGCUCUUUCAUGAUUCAAUGGAUGGUGGUGCAUGGCCGUUCUUAGUUCGUGGAGCGAUUUGUCUGGUUUAUUCCGAUAACGAGCGAGACUCUGGCCUACUAACUAGUCCGAGCAUUGUCACUGUGCUCGCGACUUCUUAUAGGGAUUCGUGGUGUUCAGCCACAAGAAAUUGAGCAAUAACAGGUCUGUGAUGCCCUUAUAUGUCCGGGGCUGCACGCGUGCUACACUGGCAAAAUCAGCGUGCUUGUGCUCUGCCGAAAGGCUUGGGUAAACCCUUGAAAAUUUGCCGUGAUUGGGAUCGGAGCUUGCAAUUAUUCUCCGUGAACGAGGAAUUUCUAGUAAGUGCGAGUCAUCAACUCGCGUUGAUUACGUCCCUGCCCUUUGUA
rnacentral:rRNA from 1 species